AGAAGGGCAGAGCUCACAUCUGAGGGGUUCAUUUUACUGCCCCCCACUUUAAUGGUGACAAUGUCAGUUAUUUGGAAAGAUCAGAAUUAACAUUUUGGCUGUUAAGAUGGUAAAUGCCAGCCGCUGAUGCUGUGAUCUAAGAAUGAUCUGGCCUGUGCACGUGUCAAAGGCUGUGUGAAGUCAGAGGGAGUGAAGGGCAUGCAGCACCUUCCAGGAUCCAGACCCAUGUUGCUGACACCUAGAACACUAUCCUGUGUUUCUCUAUGGCAUUGUUGUAGCCAUGUUGGGCCCAGGAUAUGAGAGAGACAAAAUGGGUGAAGUAAUAUCUUCUAGUGGACCAACUUCUGUUGAUGAAGGAGACAAGCAUUCCAGAUCCACAGAGCCCUACAUCAAUAUCAGAUGGUACAGACAUACAGUUAGGAAAUCCACUUCCGCCC